rnacentral:misc_RNA from 1 species
UGAUGCGAUCUGCGAAUUCUCAUUGAAAAACCCUGGGAUUGCCCGGAGUCGAAUGAAUUGUUUGGGUGCUAUGAAUUUCAAGCACCUAUUGCUGCUGUAAAGCUCUUUUUGGUCUUUCUUCUGCAUAGAGCAAAGCAAUUUUUGAUUGUUUGGACUUCCAUGACUUUGAAUAAGAAGGAAGCUUUGAAGAGUUCUUCAUUAGUUAGUUUGAUUGAUCUUCUUCAAGUACUCAAG